UACAGAGGGUGCAAGCGUUAAUCGGAAUUACUGGGCGUAAAGCGCGCGUCGGUGGUUUGUUAAGUUGGAUGUGAAAGCCCCGGGCUCAGCCUGGGAACUGCAUUCAAAACUGACAAGCUAGAGUAUGGUAGAGGGUGGUGGAAUUUCCUGUGUAGCGGUGAAAUGCGUAGAUAUAGGAAGGAACACCAGUGGCGAAGGCGACCACCUGGACUGAUACUGACACUGAGGUGCGAAAGCGUGGGGAGCAAACAGG
rnacentral:rRNA from 1 species